CCAGGUGUUCUGGAAUGUUCUUUUCCAUCCUCUGGUUUGUUGCUAAAAAGUACCUAGAGAGCAGUCACUAAAUAACUGGUGUAUCUUUUAUCCUUUUGGUAGGCUUACUUGCCCUUUGGGGAUAGGCUCCUGUGAACACUUAGAACCUGGGAGGACGGUGGGCACUGGGUGAUACCCGGCUCCGCCUUGCACCCGUUGUCAACCACAGAGAUGUGAUUCCCUUCACUACCAGCUGGUUGGUUAACAGAGCUGAGCGUUACACGGGCCUCCUGACUCAGUGCAUGCCUCCUCACAUAGUGUGCUCUCAGGUUUCCAAUCUGCUGCUCGACUGCCCUGCCCGUAGGCACAACAAGAGACUUGCAGUUAGGCUUGUGAACUCAAGGCAGAACUCUUUUUUUUUUUUUUUUGCACACUUAUUUAACCUUGUAAGCUCCCGACAUGCACAGCACUUUUGAAACAUGAUGCACUUUUUACUUUUUGAGACUUUGCCUUCAUUUCCUCCUGGGAUAUAAAAAACUUUAAAGAAGUAUUUCACAGAAUGAAUAAAAGUGUGUGUGUGGGGGGGUGUGUUAUCUGUGUGGGUGUCCAUGGUGUCUGGGCUUGGGGUGGGGUCAGGGUUUAGCCGUAGCUGCUGAGUUCUGUUGGCUACACAGCUGCAGAGCCAUGGCUGACCGUUCACUGUCAGGGGCACAUGUUACACUAAGCUUCAUGACAGUGAUGUAAUAAUGUUACACAUUUGUCUUGUAGUUAUGUAUUGAAGUUUCUGUCCUGUUUUGUGUAAAAAUGUAUCCACUCUUGUAUAUAUUUAGACUUGAAACUACCACACAAAUAUUGGAACGGUUUGCUUUAUGAAGUUAAAAGUAUCCUUCCGAAUGGAACUAACUUGCUUUGUGCUCAGACAUAUACUAUGCUGAUGUAUUUUGCAAUAUACUAUCUUAAAUUAAAUCUGGUCACUUUGUUGCCUUUUUAAAAAGUGUGGUAUUUCAAGUAGAGUUAUUUUCCUGAAAUAUAUUUGCAAACUCAAGCUGCUUUAUAAUCAAGGAAUAUUUUUAUUGAUUGAAGAAAAUGACUGCUGCAAUUCAAAAGUGAACUUAUUUUAUUAUAUAGAUGAUUUCUUAAAAGCUAUUUAUACCAUGAUACAAAAUCAUGUAGUGAUCCUGGGAGUCUGUAGUUCUUCCUGUUAAUAACAUUCAACACUGUAUGCUAGAGGCAGCAAUGCCAACACUGAAGUUAUUUUGGGUGAAAACCGUUGUUCUGUUCCUGUUUAGCUGGGGAUUAUUAAAUCCAUAUAAUGUAUGUGCUUAUGUAUGCUACAUGUGCAAGUUAGGUGUUUCCUUUGUGUUCUGCUUAUUAAAUGUCAUUCAGAUUCACUUCCUGAAUUCUAAUAAAGAGGGAAGCUAUUGGA
rnacentral:lncRNA from 1 species